UACGUAGGUGGCAAGCGUUGUCCGGAAUCAUUGGGCGUAAAGAGCGUGUAGGCGGCCACUUAAGUCCUGCGUGAAAUCUUGCGGCUCAACCGCAAGCGGUCGUGGGAAACUGGGUGGCUAGAGUGCGGGAGAGGGUAGCAGAAUUCAUGGUGUAGCAGUGAAAUGCGUAGAUAUCAUGAGGAAUACCAGAGGCGAAGGCGGCUACCUGGACAAUUGCUGACGCUCAGGCACGAAAGCGUGGGGAGCAAAAGGG
rnacentral:rRNA from 1 species